rnacentral:lncRNA from 1 species
AGGAUAAAAAAUAUUUUAUUUGGAAACUUAUAAUCUUUUUCUUUUAAAUUUAUUAUUUUCAUAUUAUAGUAUUAAAUUAAAGCUCUUGUAAUGAUCUUUAAUUUGAUAUGUAUAUUGAAUAUUUUAUGUAUUAACUAAAAAAAAGAAAUGAGAAUAAAAAAAGAAAGAAAUAAAACAAAGAAAAUUUAUAUGUUUAGUUUGAGAUUUCCAUACUGAGAGAGGUUUCCAUAUUGAAAUUUUUGUAAAGAGAAAUAUGAUUGCAGAAAAAUAAAAUAAAAAUUCCCCAUUAGUCC